GCCGAGACUAGAGUCACAUUUGGGCACUGCCUGUUGCCCUGGUGUGCUAGAGUACUCGGAAAGCAACAACUAAUCUAUAUUCACUGGCUGAGCCCUUUCAUGAUUCAGUCAGUCACCAGGUUAGUGACAGAA
rnacentral:snoRNA from 1 species